GUGGGGAAUAUUGGGCAAUGGGGGCAACCCUGACCCAGCAACGCCGCGUGAGGGAAGAAGGUUUUCGGAUUGUAAACCUCUGUCCUAUGGGAAGAAGGAAGUGACGGUACCAUAGGAGGAAGCCCCGGCUAACUACGUGCCAGCAGCCGCGGUAAUACGUAGGGGGCGAGCGUUGUCCGGAAUUACUGGGCGAAAAGGGUGCGCAGGUGGCCUGACAAGUCAGAUGUGAAAUACCGAUGCUUAACGUCGGGGCUGCAUUUGAAACUAUGAGGCUGGAGUGCAGGAGAGGGAAGCGGAAUUCCUAGUGUAGCGGUGAAAUGCAUAGAUAUUAGGAGGAACACCAGUGGCGAAGGCGGCUUUCUGGACUGUAACUGACACUGAGGCACGAAAGCGUGGGGAGCAAACAGGAUUAGAAACCCUGGUAGUCC
rnacentral:rRNA from 1 species